rnacentral:piRNA from 1 species
UCUCAGGAAGUAAUCACAAAUCAGGGAGCCU